CUGAUCAAGUGUUGGAGGAUCCAAUGCAAGAGGCAAAAGCAAAUUAUCAACUUGAACAUAAUGAUAGAGACUUGACAUCUAAAUAAGGACUUGCAAGCUUCUAAAAGCCAUAGGCCUUCUCAGGUAUUCAACAAGCUUUGGAACAUCCUGUCUACUAAGACAUCGCACUGGGCACCACAAGACUCGGCAGCCUAUUGCUUUCCAAAAUAAUUUGAACCACCUGUAAACUUCUCACAAAGCUUAAGAUUUUCUGUGCCCAUUUGAGCUUUCUUCAUUUCUUCCGUGGUUCAAAUUAUUUUGGAA
rnacentral:misc_RNA from 1 species